UAAUCGCGAGAACUCACAAGAACCCUCAGAUUCACGUUCAAUCGCUCGAUAACGAGUUGUCUCUCUAAAGACAGACACAUAGACAUAUAAGCAGUAGAUUGUGUCCUUCCAGAGGAGGAAAUCUACUUCUAGACUUCUAGAAUCAGCAUCUCCUCAUCCAUGGUGUCAUCGGGGUGAAAUGACGUCUAAAAACCUUUCACUUGUUCGUCUCCGCCCGUUUGCAUGGUGUGAAAUACGAUCCUCCUGAAACACAGAGUGUUUUAUUUUGAAAAGAAGCCGGA